UGUGGAAACGGCCACCGCCGGGUUGGCGGACUUGGGAAAGAGGGAAGAUGGCGGAGUGAGGCGCGGCUCGGCGAGCCGGCCUUUGGGCCGGGGGCGUGUCGGCCCCCGGGCGGUCGAGUGCCUCUGCGGGCCGGUGCGAGGAAGAACAUUUUCCUUGACUUUUAGGUGCUUUUAUAUUCAUCUCAAAAAGAAAACAGAAUUCUGAACUCAGGACUUGGCAAGUAUUUCUCUGUUGUCUCCUGGAGCGGGUAGUUCUGCUUCUUUUAUGCGGCCACUUUCCCUAUUGAAAUGUGGAUAUCUCUUCUCUACACUUCACCUCCAUGAUUGGGAUUGGAAAAGGCUGCUUUUCUUUUUGUUCCACCUCUCAGAGUCAACACAGAGAAGCUCCUCGGAUGUAGUCAUCCGGCCAAGUUCUCCAGGAAGAAAGAAGCAACUGACAUGCGUCUUCUACUGUUGUUUGCUUAAUUAUAAAGAAAUUAUUUUACAAGCUGAAGGCUGAUGUUUAAUUUGAAACAGGUGCUUAGAUGAUAGUAUUUAUGAAUUCUUUACCUUUUGUUUGAAACAAGAAGACUAAAUAAAUAGCAAGUAUGGAUGACAUCAGGGUUUUUUUCCAAAUGUCUUCCAGUUUCAGCCACUAUCAUGAUAAGCACAGUUGAGACUGCAGCACUAAAUUCCAAAUAUGUGUUCUAAUUUGAAAUGAAAGAGAUGCUAAAAAAUUAUAUAUAUAUAUCUAAAUCCUGGCUUGUCCUGUGACAUAGAUAUACUGGAUGAGAACAAAGGUCCAAUUUUGCAGUAAAACCUUUGAUGUGAUAAAGAAGCUUAAAAACAAGAUAUCACAAGAUUAAUUUCAUAUGUGAAUAAACCAUCACAGUCCCUGUAUAAAUACACAUUUUUUGCACGUGUAAAUCCACAUUUUUGGAUGAGAAGAGGGAUUUUUCUCCUAAAGAAGGAAGCUGUUGUUGACUUCUUUCUCAAAAGUCUUUGGACAUUUGGUAUUUUUAAAUGUUUUUUCAUUCUUCUGAGGAAGGACCACAUUGUGCAGAUGCUAACCCUAUGAAUGCAUGCUUGGGUUUAGUGAAAGAUUGGUAAAAGGAAACAGAACAGUUUUGAGUCCAAUGAUGGAACCCUGUUCACCUCCCUAGGAUGAGAGGCUGCUGUAUUACAAAUUACUUCAUUCUUUUUUGUGGAGUCUUACAUAGCACUUGAGACUUGGUUUUCCAUGCUGCUAAGGCUGGAAGAAAAGUGGCAUAGUGGUUUUUCUAUUCAGAAGAUGUGGUGGACCCUACAGUAGUAUGACCUGUCUUCAACUUUGGACGUUGAAUAAUGGAGGAAAAAAGUGAGAAAAGUUUCCAUAUAACUCCUUUCUCCUAAGAAAAAGAAGCAAAAUGCCUUAUGCAGCUCCACCUCACUUUAUGGUAUUUUACAUUCUAUAGCUCCAUUUUUUGUAAAAGCAUAAAUAACUUUUCCUUUGACCCAAGAUGGGUACUUGGAUGUUUGAUUUAUUUUUCUUGAUGAUAGGUAUAAUGUUAGGCUGAAAAGGCUGGGACUCAGGUAACUUUCCUCAGUUGGAACUAAACUUGCUUAUCAGAGAGUGGGCCUCAGAAGCAGUGUUCCCAGACAUGUGGUUGGGUCAGUAUAGAUUUAGAAGAAAUUUAGAGUCUGAAAAAAACCUCAAAUAAGAAAAAUAGUUCCAAUAAGAAAUAUGGAUCUUCCUUUCUUUCCCUUAAAACUUAAUCCUAUGAUGAACAGACUAUAGUGUAAAGCUAUCCUUGCUUCCAUAUCAACAGAGAACAAGUGUAUGAAUUAUCAGGUCUUUACAUAAGAAAAAUGAAGCCUUAUUAGUCUUUGUGAGUAGAGAAAGAAUUUAAAGCUUCUUAGAUGAAAUUAAGAACAAAUCAUCUUAGACCAUCUUUGUGAGUUAGGGGAUGUUUGCCCAGGGCUAUAUAUGCCAUGAUGCUGAAAAUUUAGGGCAGAUUUACCAGAAUUUGAGAGUGAUAGAAAUGGCCAAAAAUGGGAGAUGUUGAAUACUUUUAAUGAUAAAUUGGUGAGCCAAUUUGAAUUGGCAUAAGAAAGCUUUUUGGUAAAAUAAUUAUAUAGAGAAAAUAUAAUUUCCUUUAAUUGAGGGCAAUUACUGAGUGUUAAAGCAUAGUAGAAGUAACUUGAGGUAAAGGUAACUUAAGUUUUUCUCUAAGUAACUUCCCAGCCACUUAUGUUUUCUUUUAGUAUUUUGGAAUUGUUAAAGACAAUGGAACCUACAUAUAUGAGUCCCAUUGGUAGGUUGAGAAUAUCAUACCGUGGAGAAUUUGUGUCUUCAGUUGUCUGUUAUCUAUCUCCCCCGUGUCCCUUUGGCAACCUUUUGGGUAGGAUCAUUUGGCAGGGAAUAGGGACCCUGUACUAUCAGCACCGGUGAAACCAUCUCUGGCCCACUUGAUUGAAUAUGUACCAGACUCCUGCAGUUGCUUUAUAUUUUUUCAUUUUAUAGCUAAGAACCACUGUUUAAUGCUCUCUUUCAAGUUGUUCCUGCAUCUUCCAUAGUUGUCACCAUUUGGCAUUUAACAAAAUGGAUGUAUUCCAGUUGUACUUGCCCAGUGUUUACUUAAUACAUAUACAUUUUUUCCUCGUCUGUUUUGGUCCCCUUCUUGAUGGCAAAAGCUAUUAAUUUUAGGCAGAACUAUGCCUUGAUCUGUAGCUGUGCCUGCUCCCUUUCCUUUGCUCCUCCGUGUUAGCUGGCGGUUUUUCUUUUAAGCAGUUAAACAAAAACGGGAUAUGUGCAAUAGAAAUAUAUAUAUGUAUAUUUUAAUACUUGUGGACAAAUGUUACAAGUUGUUUAAGAACAACAAAAUCACCAAUGUCUUCCAUUUUGAGAUGUGUAUAGUUUUGUAAGCAUUAGUGCUUGGUAGCAUAUUGUAGUACCAUGUUAGGGGUUAGUGCAUGAGCCUAGUAAUAAUUUAAACUUUGGGAUGAAUUAUUGAUAAUAACCAAUAGUGUAAAAAGUGGAAAAUCUAGACCUUUUCUUUUUUCAUAAAUAUCUGAAUCUGUGAUAUUCUCCCUGGGGAAAGGAGAUUAAGGCUAAAAAGACUCAUUUAUGAAUAGAAAUGUGGGGUCACAGUGUGAAAUACUGUGUUUGAGGAUAUUGAAGCUUUCCAUCAGGUAGCUGGAAACCAGCUGCCUUUGUGUCUUAUGAAACCUCAAGUCAAAAUGAUGCCCCAUUUCAUGAUUCUCCUUUGCUCUCUUAGUUUGAGGUGAGAUUGUUCUUAACGCUCUUUUCACAUUGUAUGUCUUCUAGGUUUAUUAUUUUCCCAUUCCUUUUGCAUCAAGAAAUUAUUUUAUAUCUUGCAUGUCUUACUGAGAUGCUAUGCUAAUUGCUUAAGUGAGUGCUUUUCUAAUCUGCAGACCAUUUAUGUUUCCUGUCUGCAGCAUGCUACGUGUUAACAGAAGAACACUGGUCAGUAGUUCAGAGUGUCCUCGAUUAAUUUGUCAUGGGCUUUUCCUCCUUCCAAAUCUGCUGAAUUGUGUGUUGAUGGGAUUCCAGAUCUUUUCAUGAGAAUUGCAAAUGUAGCUAGUUGGAGCCUACCUAGGUUGCCCUGUAAUAACUAACUCUUUUGCUCAGUUACAGUAAGCUGUCUCAGACAGCUUUCACUUUUUUCUGCUUUCCUUGUGGAAAUAAAAGUUUUGUUCUGAAAGCAUAAGAUAGCUUUCUGUAGAAAAGAAAUUCCUACCUCUAAAAGCGGCCUUGAGAACUUGGAAAUGGCAUUUUUCUGAGGUAAUUUUUAAAUCGCAGUAUUAGGAGAGUCCAGGAUUUAUUGACACAGAUUCUGCAGUUAGCAUGAUAGGAAAUGCAAAACUAUUUUAAUGUGGUGUGUCUUGUGUGCAGAAGCAAGCUUAAACAAAUAGACUCUCCAGGGACCCAGGUUUAGAUUCUCAUAGUGUACUUAAAGUAGUUUUAAUAUUGGCUCAAGUAGUUUAGUGCCUGGGAGAAUCCAUUUCUGAAAAGCAUUUAAAUAUUUUUUUAGAUACCUCUGAAAAGGUAAUGAAUGCAAAAUAGCACAGUAUAUAGGAAAGGAUAUUUCCUGUUG